GGAGGGGUGGGUGAGUGGCUGAAACCAACGGUUUGCUAAACCGUCCUGGGGUGUCAAACCUCAGCGCGGGUUCGAAUCCCGCCCCCUCCGCCA
rnacentral:tRNA from 1 species